UACGAAGGGGGCUAGCGUUGCUCGGAAUUACUGGGCGUAAAGGGCGCGUAGGCGGCACUGUUAGUCAGGCGUGAAAGUCCUGGGCUCAACCUGGGAACUGCGCUUGAUACGGCAGAGCUAGAGGAUGAAAGAGGCUCGCGGAAUUCCCAGUGUAGAGGUGAAAUUCGUAGAUAUUGGGAAGAACACCGGUGGCGAAGGCGGCGAGCUGGUCCAUUACUGACGCUGAGGCGCGACAGCGUGGGGAGCAAACAGG
rnacentral:rRNA from 1 species